rnacentral:misc_RNA from 1 species
GGCCAUACCAAGAAGGAUCUCUUGCAGCUACCGCAAUUGCCUUAUCCAGCUCAUCUACCUGCCAUUCAAUGCUUUCACAGUUGGCAAGGAGCUCUUUGGUUAAAUGAACACGUUCUCCAGUGUUUGAAGGGGUCUGUUCCCAUCUAUGGUAAGUAGCUUGCAGGUUAUCAAUUGAUUCCUGAAUUUCCUCUUUGACAAUGUAAAAUGGAUCUUGAGCUGGAGUCAUCUUGCUUUUAGUUUCAAUGUCCAUGAUGAGAUCCGGAGUGAAAAA